GGGGCUAUGCUUUCACAGUGCUGGGCUCCGGGGAAGCUUUCCUCUGCAGAACUGCCCCUUCACACGCAGGAUCUGAGGUUUCAGACGCUGCGGGGCAAGCAGAGGAAGGACAGGGACAGUUCAGGGCUGCUGGGGACCUGGAGUCCCCCAGCCUGGAGGGAAAGGGCUGGCUCUCUGCUCCCAGAUGCUCCCGAGGCCGUGUUCCUGGCUACCCAGUAGCCCAGCCCCAUUCCCCGGGCGUGGUUCAGCUGUGUCCCGCAAAUCCUGCGGAGAGAGGGGCCGGUACGUGGGAUCAGCAGUGCCUGCCCAUGCGGCCAGCCCCUGUCCCGCGGUAAGUGUCACAAGUGGGAGCAGGACGUGCCCCUCCAGGAUGCCGCAGGGCACCAUGCCCUGGUGCCGGGGCUGAGCCCGGCCCGCUCCUGCCCGGGAGCAGCUGUGCGGACUCUCUGGGGGCUCCCGCAGCAGGGCGGGGGCUAAAGGUGCGUCCCGACCUUGAACAGGCAUAAUGUCCUCUGUUAUACCCGAGAGAGCAAAUUCACGCGGAGGUGAUGAUCAAGAAAAAGUCUUAAAAGUUUCAAUUUUUAAUCCAGGAGAGAGAGGAAGAAUAUUAAGCAUAAAUCUGUUUCCCGCAGGAAGAAAGUUACUUGUGACCUCCCCUCACUCUUCCCCAUAAAGGAGAAGCAAACACUGUCCACCUCACCCGUGGAAGAUUGUGCAGUUUGGGACUAAAAACUGAUUCUUGUGAAAAAGACUCUUAGAAAUAGUAACAUCAAGUAACAGUUAAAUGUAUUUUAAUUCCUUCAAACAGAAGGAUAGCUUGAAGGUACAGCAGAGAAAUUAUUUAAUUGAUUUCAUUCUCUUUUAAAAACAAAAAAAAAAAAAAAAACCCAAACCAAAACAAAAAACAACAUGGCUUCAAAAUUCAGGAACAGUAUCCAAUAAACAAAGUACUAUCCUUAUGCACCUGGUUUAGUGUGGUACAAAGAGCUUACAGAUUAAAAUGAAUAUCAUAAAUGACUGAGAAAUCGAUUCAGAUAAUGCUUGUUUACAGGGACAGAAACUACGUUGACAAGUAUACAGAUAAUCUCUUAAAACCCCAAACCUUUCUAACUGUAUUUACACACGAGAUGUAUUUGUUUCCUUUGGCACUAGAAAUUACAGACAAAAGAUCCCAUUUUAUAGCAAUUAAACUUUAAACUUAAAAAUAACCUUUGAUAUAGUUAGGCUAUAUAGCCCCAGCAGAGCAGCUUCACCUUUAUAAAAUUGCUGCCAAUUCUAUGUUCUAACCCUGGAAAUUCAGGCCAAAAAACCUCAAAUCAGCUACCACUUGUGACAAAUUUCACAAGGAGAGAUUAACUGGAUGUGAGGAGCUCAAGGAGUGGGGAAUUAAAGAUAGAUAUUUAAUAAGAAUGAAUCUCCCAUUAUUACCCAAGGUGGAUCUUUUUCAAAGCUCUUUAUACACAUAUAAAAUAAAUCCAGUAAAAAAAUGGACACCCAUUACAUAUAUUCAGCCAAAUUAGACAUUAAGUGAACAGUCAAAGCACACAACGGCCAGCUGUAGUAUUUCUUCAGCAUUGCAGAGAAAUGUGUUAAUCCCUAAUCGUUUCCAUGCUAGAAAAAAAUAAAAUAAAAUAACACUUAACUAAUAUGGUUUAUUCUUUUACCAUGUCAGUUUACUCUUUAACCAUUGCCAGGAGGAAAUCCUCAAGAUUCACAGCAAAUUCAGUAUUAUCAGUACAGUAGCAAGAGUAUUUUGGCACCCUGUAAAAUCCUAAAGAAUGCACAAGAAAAAUCUCUUAAGUAGCAUUUAAUUAUCCAGACUUCUCAUUUCUUACUCCUGGUAUUUGACUUUACAGAGCCUGAAGCUUUGAUUACUUUCAAAACAGUUUUUAUAAGUUUUCUGCUGGUAACCAACAGGGAUGGAAACAAUGGCACAAUAUUUUUCCUAAAGCAUCCAAGACUAGCAAAAGAUUAUUUUCCUUGAGGAACUACAAUUAGAACUACAUAAAAAUUAAGUAAUGAGGCAUCAUGGCAAGUAACAGCACAUCGACCCUCUACCACAACAGGAAGCUAUUUUCAAUCUUACAACAAAAAGGAACCAAAUUAAAAAACACUAGAAUUUAUAGGACCUCAUGGGUUUUGUUCCUCCUCUCUCUAGAUGGUAAGAAACCAUUACUGAUCAACGUUGUACUUGGCUCUGCAAAGCAGGAUGAGGGCAGAAGCUUUUGUUGAGAUGGAAUAAAGUACAUGGUUGUCUUAUUUUUGCAUUGAUCACACAAGACUGGACGUUGCAUUGUCUCUGAUAACUGGAUUGAAUCCAAGCUGGACCACACACUCACAGAAUGUUUUCCCUCACACGUUAUUUGUGCACGUCUCAACCAGACAUUGAUCUUGUUCUGCCAAGUGUAUUCUUAAGCAUCAAAAAAGCUGAAUUUGACUACAGCAAAUUCUGUGAGGAAAAGGAAUCAGAGAAUAUAACAAGUCUUCCCAGAAGACAGUCUUUUCUACACAUCCAAAGAGCUGUUUGAAUUUCAGAUGGCUGAUAGAACAUUUUUUUAAAUAUUUCAAAAGCAAAGCAUGUUAAAACAACUUCCAUUACAUUUUGUGGAAUACCAGUUCCAACACCCUUAUGUGAAAUUGUUACAAGUUUCUCAAAUGCAGUCUCUUAAAAUGAGAGUACAGUGUAUCUAAAGCACAUAUACAUGCUGCUACCAAGGAAAAAAAAGCAGUGAAGUAGCAACUUUUUAUACAUGAACUUUACUAAGAAUCCUGCUCUUUGAAACAGCCCCCAAAUCAGCCUGCAAUUAAGAUUUGUUUUCAACUGAAAAGACUUACAAAACCACCCAAAUAUUUAAAGACCACCCCUUGGUCUUUUCAUUCUAAGCUUGCAUGGUAUUUUCACACAAGCUGAUGUACUGGAGAUACAGUACAGCAAAUUACUAAAAAUUCUACAAAUCAAGUGACUUUCCUUUUUGCAAACAUGAAUAUACACCUGUGUCUUCACACACAGCACAUGACCCUGCAGGGAAGUCAAGAGUCAGUGUGCAGUAGCAACUACCAAAGGAAACACUUUACAGAUACUGAAAGAGUGGAAACUACAUGAACUGGUUCAGUCCACACAACCACAAGGCUGCAUUGCACUACAGAAAUACUGACAAAAUGCCCCCAAAAAUGCCAAGAAACUACAAGCAAGUUCUAAACGGGAUAUAAAAACUGUUUCUUUCAGUGAAGACCAACCAGUCCCUUUGUGUACACAUUUAGUUUUAUUGUAACAAAGCAACUUGUACACUUUAACGUUUAAAACUGAGCAUCUUUCUUGCCUUUCCAGUGAAACAAAACAAAAAAAAAACAAACAAAAAAAAAGAAAAAAAAACCACAAAAAAAAAAGAAGAAAAAAACACAAAAAAAAAAAACAAAAAAAAAAAAAAAAAAAAAAGAAUUUAAAAAUAAACAAGAACAAAAUUACAAUAGAGAAUGUCAAUUUCAAAUAAGAUCCUACAGGUUCUGCUGAUUCUCCAUCAAGUGGCAGGGCUCAAAGUCAUCAUUAGGAGAAGAUUUUAUUUUAAAAGUGUCAUCUUAAACUGCAAGGAUGUUUGUUAAACAUCACAAUUAAACAUGCCAAAGGAGAAGAAGCCAUGUUGUCAAAAUGCCCACUUAACCCACCCAAACUUCUGAAACCCACCCCGGCUGACCUUCUAUAACCCCAUUUUUAUUUUUUUUUGUUGUUUUUUCUUUUUUUUUAAACAAGAGAAAGUAGACAGAUACAUGUUGGUAAAUGCUAACUGUCCAUAUUCACAUAGAGACACAGUGUAAUCUCUGAGCCCAAUAUACAGAGAAAGAAGGAAAAAAGCUAGAUUCUAUGCACUACUACACAGGGGCCUAGCACUCUUCAGCUUCCAGCAGAGUGAAGGGAGCAGAAGGUUUUCUUUUUUCCCACAGAACAUGGUGUGUUGGAUUCAUAAACAGUUUUUGUUUUGAGAGAGAAAGGGAUAAAAAUGAACUUGAAACAGAAACUGGUAGACUCUUUUCCACUGUAUUCUGCUCAAGAUAUUUCCCCAAAAUAAAUCGUGAACCAUGGUGUAGAGGAGAGAAAAAGAGACCUCAAGAGAACAAGGCGAC